UACGUAGGGUGCAAGCGUUGUCCGGAAUUAUUGGGCGUAAAGAGCUCGUAGGCGGUCAGUCGCGUCUGCUGUGAAAACUCGGGGCUUAACUCCGGGCCUGCAGUGGGUACGGGCUGACUAGAGUGCGGUAGGGGAGACUGGAAUUCCUGGUGUAGCGGUGAAAUGCGCAGAUAUCAGGAGGAACACCAAUAGCGAAGGCAGCUCGCUGGGACGGUACUGACGCUAAGGCGCGAAAGCGUGGGGAGCGAACAGG
rnacentral:rRNA from 1 species